CCUGGAGGAAAGCCUCCCCCGGUGAGAAAGCAAAAAGGGAAGCCCUGGAGUCCGGUGAAAGCCAGCUGUCAGAUGGAGAGCCCUAGCACAAAAAAGGGUCACUUACCUCUUGGUGCAGGAGAGUAUGUUGCAGCGGUUUGGUGGUCCUGCCUAGUUGCCUUCCUGGAAAACUCCCUCAACCUGUCAGAGUGAGAGGCAAAUUGUGGCAAGCCACUCGAGAAAGAGAUCAGCAUGACAGAUAUGGAAAUAUGUAUAGAAGAAUUGAACAUAUUUAACCUCUAUUGGAGUACUUGCUGCCUUGGGAAGGUUGGGCUGGGGAGAAGAGGCAGAAGAAUUUGGAACAUAAAGUUUUGCUAAAGUAAAUGCUGAAAACCAUCUUUGCAUAUAUUUAAGAAAAUAAACCAUGUUAAAAUG
rnacentral:lncRNA from 1 species